rfam:Nicotiana sylvestris Nsyl_contig147726, whole genome shotgun sequence.
UGGACAGAUUAUUGUAUUCGACUGUAUUCACGGCGUGAAAAAGGGGAUUACACUAUUUUUAAAAUGGAAAGUGAAUCCAUUAACAUAAUAGACUCCU